UAACAUUUCAUCAGCAAGGGGAGGGGGGUGGCUUUUCCCAGAAAAGGAGAUAGAUUUUUUUUUAAAAUCUAUUUCCUUCACUCCUUUAUUCACAUCUCGCUCUCUAACCCAUUGCCAUCUGGAUUCUGUCUUAAUCAGACCAAUAUGGCCAAGCUGUGGCUCCCGAGGAAAUACUAGAGUUGCUGUGAUUUUUCUCUUGAGCAGCUGAAGUCUAGCUAGUGCUGCCAGGGGAGCGUGUAGAGACCCUUCCCCAUCCCAGUGGCCUGCACAGCCAAGGCACCUGGACUGCCAGGACGCACCUCUCCUCUCUCCUCCUGCCAUAAAAUUCCUGGCAGAGAGCAAGAUGAAGCUCACUUCCCUCAAGUGUCAGAGGGGUAAGAUGUUAACUUCUCUUAUUCAAGGGGGAAAUGGACUUGAUUGACAGAUGAGAGAGAGCUGCUACUCAUUUACCCACCGAAAGAUAUUAUAUGGCUUUAAGCAGUGUUCAGGAGCACGAGAAGGCCCUCUGUGCAUGCCAUGCUUAAUAAAGGCAAUACAAAGGUGCUUCGUUCCAAGCCUUAAACCCCAAACCUGGGCGGCACUGCUUCCUUCCUUAGAAAUUACAUGGCAAGACAUUACGUUUCUUUCGAGUAAGUCACCCAUUUACACUCCUCUUAUCCAAAUUGUAGGCCACUCAGAAGGCUGGCUGAUUGCAAAGAGGCUCGAGUUGGGGGUGGGAGGAGCGAAGGGACCUCAUUUUCUGAUGAACACAGAUGAAGUUGCAAUUUGCCCUUCCCAAUCAACAGCAUCGGGAGACAUCCGCAAAGGUCACCCCACUAACCGUAUUUUACAAGAGAAAUCCGAGAUCCUUUCACAGAAUGGUCAAGGGCAGUCUUUGCCCUCUCCUUCAGUGCUCCUCAGUUAUCGGAUGAUCUCAGAUGAAUUUGGAUCGGGCUUCAGUUUUGCUUUUAGAUGCACAUAA
rnacentral:lncRNA from 12 species